UUUGCCGCCGAACUUUCUUAGCCUUAUAUAUUAUAUGUCUUUGUUUCUUUCAUCUGUCAAUUGAUGGGAAUGGAAAAUUUAACAAUUGGAGUCGAUGUAGUAAUACUAAAAAUGACUUUUAUCAGUAUGUGGUUUUCAGUUGCAGUGUUCAGGAAUUGCAGAUUUCAGUGUUUUAGAAAAACUGUGUGCCAAGAAAUGAGAGGCAGUCCUGUUUGGAAUCACUUUCAAAAAGUGAGGAAAUGUGUUUGUGACGGACGGAGUGAUGAUACCCCUAUAGUCUAUGUUGUAAAAAAGAUAUUUUGUAUACCAGCUACCUCUGUGCCUUCGGAGCAGAUAUUUUCGAAGGCUGGACUUCUUAUUUCUAAACAAAGGAACGGUUUAAAGCCCUCAAAUGUUGAUAUGCUGAUUUUUUUUAACAAAAAUGUUUAAGUUUUGAUUUCUUUUCGUUUCCGUUCCAUUUCAAUGUUGAGGAAAUAUUUCUGCCAUUUUAUAUUUUUGUCACCUGACACAGUUUGUUUUUCAUUCCUUAGCCAAAUUUGACGAAAAUACAAUUCCUACAAGGCUACAUACCUAUUA